ensembl:lncRNA
GCCCAGGCGCACGGAUGCGGCCGCGAGGAGCGCGCGGACCGCUUCGCUGCCGCCUCGGCGUCUGCGGAGCUGCACCUCCUCCUACUCCAGUUUCCAUGAGUCAGGAAUCCAGAAUUGGCUUGUGGUUUCGUGUGAGAUUACAGUGAAAAUACUGGCCAGGGCUGAGUCGUUUGAAGGUCUGACUUGGGUUGGAGGAUCCGCUCCAAGAUUUCACAUCACAGCCCUUUGAUACAGCUCCUCCCCAGUAUGAGCGACCCAGAAGAGUAAGAUGGAGGGGUCCUUUUGGGAACCUGGUCAGAGGCCGAAAUGCUUGGCUUUAAGCCCCACAAUGUGAAGGAUCCGUUCGGCAGACCAGCCCCCAGGUGAAUCAGAAGCCAGAGUCGUCAUCUAGCCCCCACCCUCUGCAUCCACCGUUGCACCAAGUUCUGUCUGGACCUUCCCACUCCAAGAGCCCAGGUCAGCUCUCACGGGAAGGCCUAUUAGCAGAAGAGCUCAGUGAAGGACAGAGAGAGGCAGGGAGACCCAGCAGGUGACACUGAACGAUGCAGACACGGAACGUACCGGUGGCCAGGGUGGCGGGGCCGCGGCCCCCGUGGAUGGCGCUGGGGAGGCAACACCGUUCCCGCCGUCGCGCAGCUGGCGAGGCCGUGACUCGCCGCGCCAUCAGCUCAGAGGCCAGGGCCGCUCCUCCCAUAUGACUGAGUCCUCCAUCUCCUCUACUGACGCCAGGUUUCUGCCCUCCCCUGUGAGCCUGCACAGCUGGGCACAGCUACCCUACACUCGGGGCGGGGCGGGGGAACUGAAAACAAGCCACAGUGCUGACCCAAAGUGUGAGAAAUCCACUGCCUCCGACAGAAAAGGAGCGACCGCCACAAGUCAGCGCAUGAGCUCGCCAGGCCCAGGAGGAUCCAGUGAACUCUCCUUGGAAGGCUGACGCAUAACCUGCCCGGGGCGAGGCCCCCAGAACCCCGGGGCUGGAAUGCUGGCUAGGGGGACCCCCUGCCCCCUGCUGCCUUCUGCCUUUGUCUCCUGGACACUCACUUCCUGCCUCUCAUUCCUCACAAGACAUAAGUCUGUGCCCAUUGCCUGGCAGACCUCUUCGCUCCCCUCAGCCUCCCCAUUCCUCUGUCUUCCUGGGCUCCAAUGGGCACUGGAGGAAGCCCGGGCACCCCGCCCCCCUAUCUCAGGACCCUCAGAGCCUCUGUUCAUCUGGGAACCAGCGGCAGGCUUCACAGGUUCUACCCAACAGGGGGUGGACUUCCUGGAUCUUAAGAAACUGACCAGGCAGAAUCCAUCUCUCAGCUGGAGUCCUCCAGGUCCAGCUCCACUAACUUGGGUAUCUAAGAGCACCACUGCACAGCCAAGGGUCACCACUGAAGAGCACUGCACUGAGUGAGAUUUCCACAGCGGGCCACGAGGCACUGAGGUGAGACCCCUGCUGACCGCCGGCUCUGAGCGGUAAGACAUCCAAACUGAGCUUGGUGCUGCAUUCAGCGGGCAGAGACCCUUGGCCCAGUGCUGGCCUCUGUCCAUCGGGACAGAGGAGCACUCCCCACCCUGCUCCCAACCUCCUCCUGGCCAGCACACACAGCCCUGUGGGUCGGCAUUCCCGGCUAGGCCCCCAGUCGUGCACUGAGAGCUACUGUUGCACACCCGCCUCACAGGGGGAUGCCCGGCACCCCACCUGCCUCACACGCCAGGUGAGCUGAAGCAAGGCUGGCGUUAGAUCACGAGGGUGGGAUCAGGGUGUCUGGUUCUGUUCAAGGAGCACUUAGUGACUGACACAGCUUAAACUGAAACGUAACUGAAAUACUUCAAACGGAGGCAAAGGGCUUUGAAUUCCGAGGAAAAGGUUGGGGAGGAAACAAGUCAUAGCUGACACAGUCCUGGGAGAGCUCCAUACACCAGAAGCUGGAUUCCAAACCUGGAGAAGACCUCACAAGUGGAAAGCAGUGUGUAAACUGCGUGGGAACAGAAUUUCUGGAUUAAAAAACAAACAAAAGUCUCUUACCUGGCUUAUACCUCCAAGAAGAGCGGAGGGCCUGGGUUCUGAUUCUAAGUCACAGCUCUUCAGUACAAACUUCCGUGGCAAGGUUGACUCUGGUGUUAGGAGCCCUGGUUCCUGAAGUGAUUCCAUCGCUGGCAACUGCCAAAGCAAUGGGACUGAGUGAAGGUGGGAGGCUGUCCAGGCCCCUACGCACUGGAGGACCAGGAGCCGAGCGGGCUGGUCUCCUUCUCAGCCUGUCAGGCUGGCCUCUGUGGAGGAGGAGAGCUGCACAGCGGACAUUCACGUAUGUACCAGACUGCUACAUUCUGAGGCUGUGACACACGUCAGACGUUACAGAACACACAGCUGCGAACGACGCUGGAGCCGGUGCUACUGUGAGCGCUGCUAUGCAGGCAUGGCAGAUUCUAUUUUUAACACUUUAUUGGCGAAACAGAGCUCCCUUCCCUCCACCCUCACAGAGAACUAGCCCUUUUCCCUUUCUUGCGGCUAACGUUAACUUACCUGCUUCGCCAAGGCCUGUGCUGGCAUGCUACAAAGGCCGUUCACACAGCAGCCUGCCGCAGCCCUGCAGUGCCCCAGUCUGAACUGCUCCUACACAGGGAACUGCGCAGCUGUCUUAUUCAGAAAGGCUAAGUGGUGAUAAUAGUAAUGUGACGUGCUAGGCUUUGCAUAAACUGCUGUCGUGUCUCCAUUCGUUCAAAUGAGAAGAAAGUGACUGCAAGUUAGUGGGAGUUCCAACAUGCAGACUUGUUGCACGAAAAAGAUCCCCAGACUGGGGGUGUGGGGGGCAGUCCAUGAUGGAACGUUGCCAACAUCCCUUGCCUAAUUAAUGCAAGAGACUUCUUAGAAAACCCCAAAAUUCAAAGAAUAUCUGAGAAACCAGUAAAAGACAGACCAGGACCUAAGUGUAUCAAGCAAGGCUGAGAGGCUGGAAGGAGAAACUGGAAGCAAGCACGCAGUGUAACUGCACCCCACCCUUCCCUGUCAGAAGACCACACCACCUCCAGAACCGGGCACGUUCUGGCGCAGCUCCUGGGCUUAAUUUAAAACAAAAGGAACAUCUGUGGUCACUCUGCCAAAGUUUCAAGUGCCCUGCAGACUACAGCUGGAAUCCCGAUUACAUUCAGGAGUCCUGUAUGGGUAUUCCCCCUACUAAACCUGCAUAGGAGUGAUGACAGAAAUUUACCUUCUGUCUGGAAUUGUUUUAUAAUGAAAAGUCAGAAAAAUGAAAAUGACUGCCAGGAGGUUAUUUUUGACUAUGGUCGGCACUUGCCCUUAAUCAGGGUCAU